rnacentral:tRNA from 1 species
AGUCUAUUAGCUCAAUUGGUCAAGCACUGUGUACUUUACGAGCACAAAGGAUGUAGGUUCAAGUCCUACAUAGGCUA